rnacentral:rRNA from 1 species
GAUCCUGGCUCAGAACGAACGCUGGCGGCAUGCUUAACACAUGCAAGUUGAACGCAGAAUAGGGCUUCGGCUCUAUUGCUGAGUAGCAAACGGGUGAGUAACGCGUGGGAAUCUGCCUUCUUGUGGGGGAUAACUAAGGGAAACUUUAGCUAAUACCGCAUACGCUCUACGGAGGAAAGGCUUCGGCCGCAAGAAGAGGAGCCCGCGUCAGAUUAGGUAGUUGGUAGGGUAAAAGCCUACCAAGCC